rnacentral:rRNA from 1 species
GACGAACGCUGGCGGCGUGCUUAACACAUGCAAGUCGAACGCUGAAGCUUGGUGCUUGCACUGGGUGGAUGAGUGGCGAACGGGUGAGUAAUACGUGAGUAACCUGCCCUUGACUCUGGGAUAAGCCUGGGAAACUGGGUCUAAUACUGGAUAUGACAUGCCACUGCAUGGUGGUGUGUGGAAAGGGUUUUACUGGUUUUGGAUGGGCUCACGGCCUAUCAGCUUGUUGGUGGGGUAAUGGCCUACCAAGGCGACGACGGGUAGCCGGCCUGAGAGGGUGACCGGCCACACUGGGACUGAGACACGGCCCAGACGCCUACGGGAGGCAGCAGUGGGGAAUAUUGCACAAUGGGCGGAAGCCUGAUGCAGCGACGCCGCGUGAGGGAUGACGGCCUUCGGGUUGUAAACCUCUUUCAGCACGGAAGAAGCGAGAGUGACGGUACGUGCAGAAGAAGCGCCGGCUAACUACGUG